rnacentral:tRNA from 1 species
GCCUCUAUAGCUCAGUGGUAGAGCGUUGCACUCGUAAUGCAAAGGUCCCGGGCUCGACUCCCGGUAGAGGCU